rnacentral:rRNA from 1 species
CCUACGGGAGGCAGCAGUGGGGAAUCUUGCGCAAUGGGCGGAAGCCUGACGCAGCAACGCCGCGUGCGGGAAGAAGGCCUUAGGGUCGUAAACCGCUUUCAGGGGGGACGAAGCUUCCGGGGUUAAUAGCCUACGGGGUGACGGUACUCCCAAAAGAAGGUCCGGCUAACUACGUGCCAGCAGCCGCGGUAAUACGUAGGGACCGAGCGUUGUCCGGAAUCAUUGGGCGUAAAGAGCGUGUAGGCGGCUUGGUAGGUCUCGUGUGAAAUCCCGCGGCUCAACCGCGGAUCCGCACGGGAAACCCCUAAGCUCGAGUCCGGAAGAGGAGAGUGGAAUUCCUGGUGUAGCGGUGAAAUGCGCAGAUAUCAGGAAGAACACCCGUAGCGAAGGCGGCUCUCUGGGACGGUACUGACGCUGAGACGCGAAAGCGUGGGGAGCAAACAGGAUUAGAUACCCUGGUAGUCCACGCCGUAAACGAUGGGCGCUAGGUGUGGGAGGUGUCGACUCCUCCCGUGCCGAAGCUAACGCAUUAAGCGCCCCGCCUGGGGAGGUACGGCCGCGAGACAAACUACAAGAAGUAGACGCGNGAGACGNGCCGACGACGACGACGAGGGAGUAGG